rnacentral:rRNA from 1 species
UACGAGGGGUGCAAGCGUUGCUCGGAAUUAUUGGGCGUAAAGGGUAGGUAGGUGGUCUCAUUUGUCCGGGGUGAAAGCCUUGAGCUUAACUCAAGAAGUGCCUCGGAAACGGUGAGACUAGAGUCUUGGAGAGGGUCGUGGAAUUCCCGGUGUAGCGGUGAAAUGCGUAGAGAUCGGAAAGAACACCAACGGCGAAAGCACUCUGCUGGGCCGACACUGACACUGAGAGACGAAAGCUAGGGGAGCGAAUGGG